rnacentral:rRNA from 1 species
GACGAACCGUGCGAACGUUGUUCGGAAUCACUGGGCUUAAAGGGAGCGUAGGCGGGCUAACAAGUCUGGGGUGAAAUGCCGCGGCUCAACCGUGGAACUGCCUCAGAUACUGUCGGCCUCGAGGGAGAUAGGGGCAUGCGGAACUAACGGUGGAGCGGUGAAAUGCGUUGAUAUCGUUAGGAACUCCGGUGGCGAAAGCGGCGUGCUGGAUCUCUUCUGACGCUGAGGCUCGAAAGCUAGGGGAGCAAACGGG